ensembl:snRNA LOC120094541 U4 spliceosomal RNA
AGCUUUGCGCAGUGGCAGUAUCGUAGCCAAUGAGGUUUAUCCGAGGCUUGAUUAUUGCUAAUUGAAAACUUGAAGGCUGCCUUUUGUUCC